GCACGGCAGCCGGAGAGGCAGAGCCAAUGGCUGCCUUGCAUGCACAAUGAGUCCAUCCAGCCCUCCCCACUCUGUCAAGUCCUUAAGUUGCAGCUUUCCACUACCUCGGUGUUCAGAGAAAAGAUGAUGCUCAGCACGAGGGGAAGGAAGGUAGACGGCAUGGACACUGAUCCCGACAGGGCCGGCUGCUGAGAGGUUUCCUUUGGAUGCUCCUGAGCCUGACCUGCCAUAGGGGAUGCCCCAAUUCACCUUCGCUUGCUUCUGUGGGCUCCACGGCUUCUGCAAGAUGAAGAGGAAAAAAGAAGAGCCCAGUGCAGAGCAGGAGACGUCAGUGUGAGACUUGUCCCAGGUGUGUCACAUUUACCCGCUCACUCACAUCGCUGGAUCCCAGCCCUGGUUUGAACUUGAGACUUGCCUGGCUUGGAAAAAAGCUGAAGCUCAGAAAUGACCCUUACAGAAGAGCCACAAACAGGCAUUAUCCUGGGUGCUAUGGUGGUUCAGCACAGAUCCCCAGUCUCAAAGGUGCUUGGCCUUGGACCCCACAGCCAUCCGUGGCAGAGAGAGAUUUUUGUCUCUUUACUGGGUAAAAGUUUCAUUCACCAGAAAGCUGUCCUUGUCUUGCUCGAAUAUGUCCCCCUGGACAGACUCUGAAAGAGAUUUCCAAAUCAAGAGCCAGGUCCUGCCCUCAGUUUCCCUGGAGUAAGUAGGCAGCAGGAUUUGGCUCUAUGUUUUUAAGUUGUCUCACUGCUGCACCGUCAACUGAAAAUGAACAAGCUGUAGAGUUUUGUUAGUAUCUCCCAAGCAAAUGUCCUGUGUCUACAGGAAGCAGCUCCUAAUGCUUCUGAGACAUUUUGUGCUCAGAUAUGCUAGAUGCCAGCAUGGAGAAACCCUUAGGGAGUGGUGAAAACACACUGGGCUUUGAUUCUGCUCCUUCUUGCAUCGAUGCAAAUCAGGAGUCACUCCACUGAAGGCAAUGGCGUUAGCCCAGUGGGAGAGCAGACUCAUGCCCCUUAUGUGUCUAUAUUAACUAUGGGAAGUAAAUUUUGCAGUUGGCCCCUUUUAUAUAAUGGGCUUGAAUCAAAAUCCCUGAACUCUAUGUGAAGAGAAGUUUGGAACUGGGACCCAGAUUUCAGCUUUGGAGCUCAGGUCUAUCUCUAGCGUGUAUGCAUCCUCCAGUGGUUCUCCACCUUUCCCAUAAUGGGUGCCCUCUUCCAAUCUAGCCAUUUAGCAAUCUGGGAAAGGCAGAAUCAACACGACCCUCUGACACCUGUUCAUGUACAUGCAGUGGGUCGCAACCCCCAGGAUAAGAGCCCAUGUUCUCAAAGAAAUUCAUAUAGUUGAGAGUCUGGAAAAUGCCAGUGUUCAAAUCGUUAACUAUUUUUUGCUGGAACUGCCUCACCUAAUCCAGGCAUAGCCAUUAGCAUUAGUGUAGUGCUGCAGUUUCAAAGGUUGUCCCUGUUUUCUCCCUCCUUGUCUGUAUGUCUUUCCUACCUGCUGUUAAAGCCAUAUGGAAAUUCCUUGGGUGCUGUGCCUUUCAGGAGGUGUUGCAGACAGACUCUCCUCUUCAGGUACCCUAAAAUAGCCCCACUAGUUGUCACUGUGGAUCCCAGAAAGUACAUCUAUUUCAUGGCCUGAUCCAAAGAACAUUGAGGUCAGUAGAAACUCUCCAUUUGAUUUCAGUGGGUUUGGAUCAGGACCUCACUCAGGAAGGUCUUCUUGUGGUAGUGUUGGAGAUGUGCUUGAACCCAACCCUCAGCUCUGAACACCCCCCAGCCUUAUGGCACUGGAAAUCCAGAUCCAACUUUAGCCCCUCAGACCCAGCUCUGGUUAAUUCAUACAGCCUCAACACUUUCACUCCUGAAUCCUUUGCUGCCACCUCCAAAAUGUUCAGCCCCUGAGGAUACUAGAGUUUCGCUCUUUCGAUGAGGAUGGUCACACAAUAUUUGUAGCCCUUUCAGUCAGAAUAAACUGCAGCUGCGGCGGCUUUCGAGAACUGGUAGCAAGGCCUGAGCUGGGUGCCUGACAGAGUCAGAAAGACAGGCUGUCAACAUGACAGGCUGAGAUGGUAGCCACGGAGAUCUGAGGAGGGGUUCAAAAUGGCUGCCUCAGGCAGGGCUGGUUCAGCCAGUAUUGCAAAGCUGGUGACUGUAGGGAGCCCUCAUGAACCCUCUCCUGCCCCAGUCAUCUCUGUAUGGAAAAGCCCAUGGGAGGUUCCUUGCUCAUGCUCCAGGGUUCAGUGGUGUGGAGUAGAAGCUGCUUUGUACUGAAUGAGAACCCAGUGGGGACCACUUGGUCCCCCUAGAGAAUUGGGGGGCCUCCUCCUUUAAUAUGUCCCUGGUUAGGGUAAAUUGUUGGCUCUUUGCCUCCUCCUGUGUAACAGAAAAUCUCCAUUCACUCGCUCCUCUAAGUCCCUCAACAAACCCAUAGCACCAGUUCUGGAUACAUCUCCUAAGGCCUGAUUCCCACCAUGGAAUGGAACCAGCCCUCAGAAUCAGUCAGGUCAGAGGAUGGGUAGUGGGAGAAGGUCAUGUGCUAAAUCUAGUGGAUGAGGUCUGGGGAGGGGGACAAGUGAAUGACGUUGCAUGGAACUGUCAACAGGCCUUCACUGCAGCCAGCCAAAGGCUUUGGGGACAAAGUUAUUAAUAUUAAACCAGAAAUAGUAAUUGGGGCAAAACCAUCAUUUCUUUUUAAAGAUCAAACAUGGAGGAUCAGGGCACAGAGUGCCUUAGGACGGUGGUGCCAGAGAUUAUUAAUGCUGUAACUCUGAUGCAAAAGCUUGCCCGGUAGGGUCUCUGAGGAAUGUUGUCGCCUGCUCCCCUUUAGGAAGGGCAGACAGGUAAAUCUUUAGGGGCCAGAUCCGUGGCCAGUGUAAAUCAGAGGAGACUCGUUGACUUCAAUGGAGCUAUGCAGAUUUACACCAUCUGAGGAUCUGGCCCCGAAAAGAAUAAGUUGAGCUAACUCAGAAAACAAAUCCUUUCCCCUACUUAUAAAACUCACUGACCUUUCCAGCUCUCAGACCGCUGCUGCGAGACCGGAUUUAUGCUUGACGAACAGAGCUGUGUGUGCUGGUGACAAGCUCUCCUUUUGGGAAGAUUUGCUAGCUUGGCCAGCUACCAAAACCUACAUGGCCCUUAUUUUAUUGUCUUAUCUGAAGGGUUUAGCGUGAAACCUCUGCCCAGCAAGGAUGACCAAUAAAAGGAGACACAUGAGAUCAUCUCCUGGGGUAUAAGAAGAGCAACGAACUAAGCAGCUUUAAAUAAUCUUCGUCGGGUGCCAGUAGUCGGGGUUGCUCUAGGAGAUGGUUGAGUCACUUCAAACACGAAACAGCUGGUAGCAGACCAUAGCGACGAGUCCAACUGCACCUGAUCUUGCUUAAUGAGUCAGUCUGGAAAGUUCACAUUCUGAGAAGCACUGUAUUUUCCCAUGGAGCAUGAAGAAGAUACUCACACAAGGUGCUGUCUGGUUCAUGCACAUGAAGGAUCAAGCAUAGGGAAAGGACCCAACACUGAAAGCAUUGGGGUCACACUCCAGAUGUAUAUGGCCCAGAUGUCUUUUUUUUUCUCAGUGAACUUUGGCAUGUCUGAGCCAACUUGUGAUGGUGACCAUUUUGCUACUGCAUGAUGCAUUACAGAAACUCAUCACUGGAGGCUGUUGGUCUUGUUUUCAUCUCAUUUCAAUGGUGGCAGAACGUUUAGCAGAAGACUGAAAUUUAGGCUUAGUUUGGGUAUCUAAAUCCCCUAGGAGAUUAAACAUUACAGGCCAAAUCUUGGGGUCUCUCACCCAAGAAAAGCUUUUGCUGGGUCAACGCCUCACUGGAAUGGAGCAUUUUCAAAUUCUAUUGGCUCCAGAGAGAGCCAAAGGUGCUCAACAUCCCUCAGGAUAUUGCCCCUUGACUGGGUUUUUUGCCUGAGUAAAGACUUCAGGAUUUGGCCCUAAAAUUCUUUCCAAUCAUUGACCCCAUAAUAAAGCAGGAGGAAAAGUGAUGCAGAGGAUGAACACUGCCCCUGAGCAUCUCUAGAUGCCAAUAUCACAAAUGUGUGCUCUAUUCUGCAAGUUGGCAGCAA